rnacentral:rRNA from 1 species
CCUACGGGAGGCAGCAGUGAGGAAUAUUGGUCAAUGGGCGCAAUCCUGAACCAGCCAAGCCGCGUGAAGGAUGACUGCCCUACGAGUUGUAAACUUCUUUUGUAACGGAAUAAAAUGAUGCACGUGUGGGUUUUUGAAUGUACUGUAUGAAUAAGGAUCGGCUAACUCCGUGCCAGCAGCCGCGGUAAUACGGAGGAUCCGAGCGUUAUCCGGAUUUAUUGGGUUUAAAGGGAGCGUAGGUGGGUUUUUAAGUCAGUGGUGAAAGUUUGCGGCUCAACAGUAAAGUUGCCAUUGAUACUGGAGGACUUGAGUUCAGUUGCGGCAGGUGGAAUGUGUGGUGUAGCGGUGAAAUGCUUAGAUAUUACGCAGAACUCCGAUUGCGAAGGCAGCUUGCUAGGCUGCAUCUGACACUGAUGCUCGAAAGUGUGGGUAUCAAACAGGAUUAGAUACCCUUGUAGUC